rnacentral:rRNA from 1 species
CGCUAGCGGCAGGCUUAACACAUGCAAGUCAGGGGCAGCAUGAGACGGAGAUUCGUCGAAGUCUUGAUGGCGACCGGCGCAAGGGUGCGUAACGCGUGAGCAACUUGCCCGUUUCAGGGGGAUAACAGUUAGAAAUGACUGCUAAUACCGCAUAAGCGCACAGUACCGCAUGGUACGGUGUGAAAAACUCCGGUGGUAUGAGAUGGACCCGCGUCUGAUUAGCUAGUUGGUGGGGUAACGGCCUACCAAGGCGACGAUCAGUAGCCGGCCUGAGAGGAAGGUCCCCCACACUGGAACUGAGACACGGUCCAGACUCCUACGGGAGGCAGCAGUGAGGAAUAUUGGACAAUGGAUGGAAAUCUGAUCCAGCCAUGCCGCGUGAAGGAAUACGGUCCUAUGGAUUUUAAACUUCUUUUGUAUGGGAGCAAUAAGGUGUACGCGUACAUCGAUGAGAGUACCAUACGAAUAAGCAUCGGCUAACUCCGUG